AUGAACGCUGGCGGCGUGCCUCAUACAUGCCAGUCGAGCGAACAGAUGAGGAGCUUGCUCCUCUGACGUUAGCGGCGGACGGGUGAGUAACACGUGGAUAACCUACCUAUAAGACUGGGAUAACUUCGGGAAACCGGAGCUAAUACCGGAUAAUAUAUUGAACCGCAUGGUUCAAUAGUGAAAGACGGUUUUGCUGUCACUUAUAGAUGGAUCCGCGCCGCAUUAGCUAGUUGGUAAGGUAACGGCUUACCAAGGCAACGAUGCGUAGCCGACCUGAGAGGGUGAUCGGCCACACUGGAACUGAGACACGGUCCAGACUCCUACGGGAGGCAGCAGUAGGGAAUCUUCCGCAAUGGGCGAAAGCCUGACGGAGCAACGCCGCGUGAGUGAUGAAGGUCUUCGGAUCGUAAAACUCUGUUAUUAGGGAAGAACAAAUGUGUAAGUAACUAUGCACGUCUUGACGGUACCUAAUCAGAAAGCCACGGCUAACUACGUG
rnacentral:rRNA from 1 species